rnacentral:rRNA from 1 species
AAUUUCGGACAAUCGGGGAAACCCUGAUCCAGCCACCUCGCAUGUAUGAUGAAGGCCAUCGGAUUGUAAAGUACCUUUGGCAGAGACGAAAAGGUAUCUCCUAUUACGAGAAACUGCUGAUGGUAUCGGCACAAUAAGCACCGGCUAACUACGUUCCAGCAGCCGCGGUAAUACGUAGGGUGCAAGCGUUAAUCGGAAUUACUGGGCGUAAAGCGUGUGUAGGCGGUUCGGAAAGAAAGAGUAGAAAUCCCAGGGCUCAAACUUGGAAAGGCAUUUUGGACUGCCGAGCUAGAAUAUGUCAGAGGGGGAUAGAAUUCCACGUGUAGCAGUGGAAUGAGUAAGUAUGUGGAGGAAUACCGAGAGCAAAGGCAGCCCCCUGGGAUAAUACUGAAGGUCGAAAACGAAAGCGUGGGGAGGAAACA